GUCCUGGCUCAGGAUGAACGCUAGCUACAGGCUUAACACAUGCAAGUCGAGGGGCAGCGGGAAGUCAGCUUGCUGACUUUGCCGGCGACCGGCGCACGGGUGAGUAACACGUAUCCAACCUUCCCGUUACUCUGGAAUAGCCUUUCGAAAGAAAGAUUAAUACCGGAUAGUAUCGAGAGAUUGCAUGAUUACCCGAUUAAAGAUUCAUCGGUAACGGAUGGGGAUGCGUUCCAUUAGGCAGUUGGCGGGGG
rnacentral:rRNA from 1 species